AAAGUUCCGCAGAUAGGUAUUGAAAAGAUCUACAACUUGGCGUUGGUCUCAUCCUCAAAUUCGUUACGGAUUUUGCAUGAUCAAGAUCUGGUCAGAUCUGACUUUGUCGAAUUAAACCAGGAGCCUGGAGACGAAUUUUUGAAUGAAAACAAUUGGGUAAGAACCACCUA